rnacentral:rRNA from 1 species
UACAGAGGGUGCUAGCGUUGUUCGGAAUUAUUGGGCGUAAAGGGCGCGUAGGCGGCCCUGUGUGUCGGGUGUGAAAGCCCACCUCUUAAAGGUGGAAUUGCAUUCGAAACUACAGGGCUGGAGUGUCGGAGAGGAUGGCGGAAUUCCCGGUGUAAUGGUGAAAUGCGUAGAUAUCGGGAGGAACACCAGUGGCGAAGGCGACUACCUGGCCUGUUCUUGACGCUGAGGCGCGAAAGCUAGGGGAGCAAACGGG